rnacentral:rRNA from 1 species
UGGCGUACGGCUCAGUAACACGUAGUCAACCUGCCCUGGAGACAUGGACAACCCCGGGAAACUGGGAUUAAUCCGUGAUAGGUCAUCUCAUCUGGAAGGAGAGAUGGCUUAAAGGGGUGCGCGGGCUUCUUCUGCGUAUUUGCUCCAGGAUGGGACUGCGUCCGAUCAGGCUGUUGGCGGGGUAAUGGCCCACCAAACCUGUAACCGGUACGGGCCUUGAGAGAGGUGGCCCGGAGAUGGACACUGAGAGAAGGGUCCAGGUCCUACGGGGCGCAGCAGGCGCGAAACCUUCGCAAUGCGCGAAAGCGUGACGAGGUUAAUCCGAGUGACUCCCGCUGAGGGGGUCUUUUGUCAGCUGUAAAUAGGCAGGCGAAUAAGGGGAGGGCAAGCCUGGUGUCAGCCGCCGCGGUAAUACCAGCUCCUCGAGUGGUCGGGGCGAUUAUUGGGCCUAAAGCAUCCGUAGCCGGUUCCGUAGGUCCUCUGUUAAAUCCAACCGCUUAACGGUUGACAUGCAGAGGAUACCGCGAGACUAGGAGGCGGGAGAGGCGGACGGUACUCCGCGUGUAGGGGUAAAAUCCUUUGAUCCGCGGAAGA